ACCCUAUUAUUUUAAGCUAUAUAUUGGUAGUAAUUAAUAAUUUAUGAAAUCAUAAGAUUUUGGCGGUAUUUUAAGCUUAUUAGAGGAAUUUGCUCUGUAAUGGAUACAACGCCUUAAUCUUACUUAAUUUGGUUUUAAAGUCAGUUUGUAUACCACUAUAUUUAAUUAUAUUGAAUAAUUAUAUUUAAGAUUUUUUUUUAUAAAAAAUAUAUUAAGUCAAGGUGCAAUUUAUAAUUAUGAAUGAAGUGAAUUACAUUAAUUUUAAUUUUACUUAAAUAUUGAAAAAAAAAAUUAUAGGAUUUAAUAGUAAAA
rnacentral:rRNA from 1 species